GAGGGUUUAGCUCAGUGGCAGAGGGUGAGCUUAGCAUGCACAAGGUCCUGGGUUCAAUCCCCAGUACCUCCA
rfam:Camelus ferus unplaced genomic scaffold scaffold662, whole genome shotgun sequence.